rnacentral:lncRNA from 1 species
CUUUAAGGCAGCAGUGCACAGCAGGUAACCUGGAAGGCCUGAGCAGUUGAAAGAGCACGGGUUCAGGAAGUUGGGCAAACCUUCAUCAGGACAGAGUUGCGUGGUUUGAAUUAAUGGGCAUUACUGGGGGAACGUGCCUUGCGGAGAGAACAACAGCCUGGCCUGUGUGGACCGCCAGCACCUGUUCAAGGAAUGAGCUGGGGAGCUGCAGCAAGGGUGAAGAUCCAGUCACAUCCUCCCACUACCUUCGUCCUC